rnacentral:rRNA from 1 species
CAGUAGCCGCGGGAAUACAGAGGGUGCGAGCGUUAAUCGGAUUUACUGGGCGUAAAGCGUGCGUAGGCGGCUUCUUAAGUCGGAUGUGAAAUCCCUGAGCUUAACUUAGGAAUUGCAUUCGAUACUGGGAAGCUAGAGUAUGGGAGAGGAUGGUAGAAUUCCAGGUGUAGCGGUGAAAUGCGUAGAGAUCUGGAGGAAUACCGAUGGCGAAGGCAGCCAUCUGGCCUAUACUGACGCUGAGGUACGAAAGCAUGGGGAGCAAACAGGAUUAGAUACCCCCGUAGUCCCUGUCUCUUAUACA